CUCAGCCGUCUUAUAAGUUUAAAACUUUCUCUUUCCUCAUUUUUCAUUCCCUGUUCAAUUGAAUCAGAUCUGAAAAUUUUCUCCCUAUAAACUUGUUUCUGAAAUUGACAGAAGAAGAAGAUGAAACUCUUGCCUUGUUUUCUGAUAAAGAUCUCAUUCACACGAUGAUUUUUCCUCUCGUAACAAAGUUUUCAUUCCCAAAUACGGCCUUGUGAAAUGGUCCUUUUCUUCUGUUCAACCUCAUCACCUUCUUUUGAUUCUGAGGCAUCUUGUGCGACAGAGGAAGAUCCAUACUCUUUUGCUUGACUUUUUGGAGGUUUUGUCGACUGCAAAUUCAUCUAGUAUAAUCCACCAUAAAAAGGGGUAAUGAAACUGAAUGGUGCUGUGCGUUUAUGCCUUCAUCUGUUGAAUAUGGAUCAACCAGUAGCAAGAAUCUUAAGUGACGACCUUACACCCAGGCAGCUUCCAGCGUGUGCAAGAAUUUAACUGACAAAGGGAAUUAAAUUGGAACUGGAAACUUUAUAUGUGGGAUGCCAGUGUUGCUAACGUUGGAGUUGGAGCGUGUGCAAGAAUUUAAUUGGAACUGCAGCCAUAAACUGAUCGUUCAUACCUCUAUGAUUUGUGGAUUUUCCAAACUGACUUAAAUAUCAAAACUUGCAUUUUCAUAUUAUGUUGUGGCUUAUAAGUUUUAUAUCACUUUGACAGUUCUAUAUGACAUUUGGAUCCUUGCUUUUUACUUGGACAUCU